GAUGAACGCUAGCGGCAGGCCUAACACAUGCAAGUCGAGGGGUAUUAGGAGCUUGCUCCUAAGAGACCGGCGCACGGGUGCGUAACGCGUAUGCGAUCUACCUUGUACAGGGGAAUAGCCCAGAGAAAUUUGGAUUAAUGCCCCAUAGCAUAAUUGAAUCGCAUGGUUUAAUUAUUAAAGUUCCAACGGUACAAGAUGAGCAUGCGUCCCAUUAGUUAGUUGGUAAGGUAACGGCUUACCAAGACAAUGAUGGGUAGGGGUCCUGAGAGGGAGAUCCCCCACACUGGUACUGAGACACGGACCAGACUCCUACGGGAGGCAGCAGUGAGGAAUAUUGGUCAAUGGGCGCAAGCCUGAACCAGCCAUGCCGCGUGCAGGAAGACGGUCCUAUGGAUUGUAAACUGCUUUUANACAGGAAGAAACCCUACCACGUGUGGUAGAUUGACGGUACUGUAGGAAUAAGGAUCGGCUAACUCCGUG
rnacentral:rRNA from 1 species